GUUUCAUUUAAAAUUAUAAUAAAAUUUUAUUUUUUAGUCAAAAAGCUAAAAUUUAUUUAAAAGACGAGAAGACCCUAUAAAUCUUUAUAAUUAUAUUAUUUUAAUUUAUUAGAUUAAUUUUGUUAUUAUAAAUUUAAUUAUUUUAUUGGGGUGAUAUUAAAAUUUAAUGAACUUUUAAUUUUUGUUUAACAUUAAUUUAUGAAUAAUUGAUCCAUUAUUAGUGAUUAAAAAAUUAAGUUACUUUAGGGAUAACAGCGUAAUUUUUUUGGAGAGUUCUUAUCGAUAAAAAAGGUUGCGACCUCGAUGUUGGAUUAAGAUAAAUUUUUAAAUGCAGAAGUUUAAAUUUUAAGUCUGUUCGACUUUUAAAUUCUUACAUGAUCUGAGUUCAAACCGGUGUAAGCCAGGUUGGUUUCUAUCUUUAAUUAAUUAAUAUAUUUUAGUACGAAAGGACCAAAUAUUUAAAUAAUAAUAUAUUUUAUAUUAAGAAU
rnacentral:rRNA from 1 species